AAAACUUUCAACAACGGAUCUCUUGGUUCUGGCAUCGAUGAAGAACGCAGCGAAAUGCGAUAAGUAAUGUGAAUUGCAGAAUUCAGUGAAUCAUCGAAUCUUUGAACGCACCUUGCGCCCUCCGGUAUCCCGGUGGGCAUAGCCUGUUCGAGCGUCAAAU
rnacentral:rRNA from 1 species